GAUGAACGCUGGCGGCGUGCCUAAUACAUGCAAGUCGAGCGAACGGACGAGAAGCUUGCUUCUCUGAUGUUAGCGGCGGACGGGUGAGUAACACGUGGAUAACCUACCUAUAAGACUGGGAUAACUUCGGGAAACCGUAGCUAAUACCGGAUAAUAUUUUGAACCGCAUGGUUCAAAAGUGAAAGACGGUCUUGCUGUCACUUAUAGAUGGAUCCGCGCUGCAUUAGCUAGUUGGUAAGGUAACGGCUUACCAAGGCAACGAUGCAUAGCCGACCUGAGAGGGUGAUCGGCCACAUGGGAACUGAGACACGGUCCAGACUCCUACGGGAGGCAGCAGUAGGGAAUCGUCCGCAAUAGGCGAAAGCCUGACGGAGCAACGCCGCGUGAGUGAUGAAGGUCUUCGGAUCGUAAAACUCUGUUAUGAGGUGAGAACAUAUGUGUAAGUAACUGUGCACAGCUUGACGGUACCUAAUCAGAAAGCCACGGCUAACUACGUG
rnacentral:rRNA from 1 species